GCAUUAGUGGUUCAGUGGUGGAAUUCUCGACUUCCGUGUGGGAGAUUCAGGUUCGAUUCCUGGCCGGUGCA
rnacentral:tRNA from 1 species